UACGGGGGGAGCAAGCGUUGUUCGGAUUUACUGGGCGUAAAGGGCGCGUAGGCGGCCAGCACAAGUCGGUUGUGAAAUCUCCGGGCUUAACUCGGAAAGGUCAACCGAUACUGUGCGGCUAGAGUGCGGAAGGGGCAACUGGAAUUCUCGGUGUAGCGGUGAAAUGCGUAGAUAUCAAGUGGAACACCAGUGGCGAAGGCGAGUCUCUGGACAUUUCCUGACGCUGAGGCACGAAAGCCAGGGGAGCAAACGGG
rnacentral:rRNA from 1 species